rnacentral:rRNA from 1 species
AGUGAACGCUGGCGGUAGGCCUAACACAUGCAAGUCGAACAGCAGCACAGUAAGAGCUUGCUCUUACGGGUGGCGAGUGGCGGACGGGUGAGGAAUACAUCGGAAUCUACUUUUUCGUGGGGGAUAACGUAGGGAAACUUACGCUAAUACCGCAUACGACCUACGGGUGAAAGCAGGGGAUCUUCGGACCUUGCGCGAUUGAAUGAGCCGAUGUCGGAUUAGCUAGUUGGCGGGGUAAAGGCCCACCAAGGCGACGAUCCGUAGCUGGUCUGAGAGGAUGAUCAGCCACACUGGAACUGAGACACGGUCCAGACUCCUACGGGAGGCAGCAGUGGGGAAUAUUGGACAAUGGGCGCAAGCCUGAUCCAGCCAUACCGCGUGGGUGAAGAAGGCCUUCGGGUUGCAAAGCCCUUUUGUUGGGAAAGAAAAGCAGCAGGUUAAUACCCCGCUGUUCUGACGGUACCCAAAGAAUAAGCACCGGCUAACUUCGUG